UGGGGAAUAUUGCACAAUGGAGGGAACUCUGAUGCAGCGACGCCGCGUGAGCGAUGAAGGAAUUCGUUUCGUAAAGCUCUGUUCUAUGGGAAGAAAAGGACGGUACCAUAGGAGAAAGCCCCGGCUAACUACGUGCCAGCAGCCGCGGUAAUACGUAGGGGGCGAGCGUUGUCCGGAAUUAUUGGGCGUAAAGGGUGCGCAGGCGGUUAAACAAGUUGGAUGUGAAAUCUUGUAGCUCAACUACAAGCGUGCAUCCAAAACUGUAUAACUUGAGUUAAGGAGAGGUAAGUGGAAUUCCUGGUGUAGCGGUGGAAUGCGUAGAUAUCAGGAGGAAUACCGGUGGCGAAGGCGACUUACUGGACUUAAACUGACGCUCAUGCACGAAAGCGUGGGGAGCAAACA
rnacentral:rRNA from 2 species